rnacentral:lncRNA from 1 species
GCCUCAUCGGAUGGAACCAUAUUUCUAUAGCAUCUGGGAGGGUCCUUCUCAUUUCAUUAUUAAUUGUAGUAGGACCCCUGCAUAAUAUGAUUUAGUGGUUGAAGGACUGCGAUGUGUAGUUUUGCCAGAAGAUCUUUGCCACAAAUUUCUGCAACUGGCAGAAUCUAAUACAGUGAGAGGAAUAGAAACCUGUGGAAUACUCUGUGGAAAACUGACACAUAAUGAAUUUACUAUUACCCAUGUAAUUGUGCCAAAGCAGUCUGCGGGACCAGACUAUUGUGACAUGGAGAAUGUAGAGGAAUUAUUCAAUGUUCAGGAUCAACAUGAUCUCCUCACUCUAGGAUGGAUCCAUACACAUCCCACUCAAACUGCAUUUUUAUCCAGCGUUGAUCUUCACACUCACUGUUCCUAUCAACUCAUGUUGCCAGAGGCCAUUGCCAUUGUUUGCUCACCAAAGCAUAAAGACACUGGCAUCUUCAGGCUCACCAAUGCUGGCAUGCUUGAGGUUUCUGCUUGUAAAAAAAAGGGCUUUCAUCCACACACCAAGGAGCCCAGGCUGUUCAGUAUAUGCAAACAUGUGUUGGUAAAAGACAUAAAAAUAAUUGUGUUGGAUCUGAGGUGAUAUGUUCUGAAUGUAAGCACCGUCAACAUCAGACACCUACUCAUGGACAUGUGGUUGCCGGAUUUUCUUAAGAUGUUUCCAGAAAUGACUGAUAUUUUAUAUUUAUACAUUUUAGAUGACAAAGCUUGAUAUUUAUUGCUGUUGCACAUUUUAAAGUUUUCUUUUUGGGUUGCUCUGUGUCAAGAGAGGUUACAUGGUGUUAAAUCGGUACCUGAUAAUGUACCCAAAUACUAUGGCCAGA